rnacentral:rRNA from 1 species
ACUCCUACGGGAGGCAGCAGUGGGGAAUAUUGGGCAAUGGGGGAAACCCUGACCCAGCAACGCCGCGUGAAGGAAGAAGGUCUUCGGAUCGCAAACUUCUAUCCUUGGUGAAGAUAAUGACGGUAGCCGAGAAGGAAGCCCCGGCUAACUACGUGCCAGCAGCCGCGGUAAUACGUAGGGGGCAAGCGUUGUCCGGAAUGAUUGGGCGUAAAGGGCACGUAGGCGGCCUGGUAAGUCUGGAGUGAAAGUCCUGCCUUUAAGGUGGGAAUUGCUUUGGGUACUGCUGGGCUUGAGUGCAGGAGAGGUAAGUGGAAUUCCCGGUGUAGCGGUGAAAUGCGUAGAGAUCGGGAGGAACACCAGUGGCGAAGGCGACUUACUGGACUGUAACUGACGCUGAGGCGCGAAAGUGUGGGGAGCAAACAGGAUUAGAUACCCUGGUAGUC